rnacentral:lncRNA from 1 species
GAAGAGGGGAGGACCAUAGGACAGUCUAGCUGGUGAUAGGAGCACACCUGAAGAACACUCGGGACCGUGCCUGGCCAAGGGCAAUGGAUGUCAUGUGUGCGCAUGAGUGCGUGCACACACAUAUACACAUGUGCAUACACACAUGUGCAUACACACUGGCAUACACACAUACACACAUGUACAUACAUGUGCAUGUGCAGAGGCACAGGUGCACACAUGCAUACACAUACACAUAUGCACACACAUGUGCAUGUGCAUGUAUGCACCGGCAUGUGUACACACAUGUACAGGCACACAUGUACAGACACACAUGCACGCACAUAUGGGCACUCAAACAUAGGCACAUGCAUGCACACACAUUUGUACACAGGUAUGCGCACAUAUGCACACAUGGAUGCAUACAUGUGCACACAUGGGCACACACACACACACACACACACACACACACUCAUGGGCAUUCUCACACAGGCACACUUUUAGACCAAAUCCAUAAGAAGACCCCAGUCUCAGACAGGGUGGAAGCCCUGGAGUACUUACUAAUUCAGCUGCCAGGAUAGGGUUGGGCCAUUGCUAGGCCAGCAGCCCAGGGAAAUUGCAAGUUGCCAGUGGCCACCGUGCCACCACCAAUAAGCUUUGGCUGCAUCAGGGAAACCAUCAAAAAGCCAUGUGUGCCUCAGUUUCCUUCCCUCUGCACAGAAUCACCACGUCAGAAACCAUUCCAUCUAGCUACCUGCCUUCAUAGUCACGGGCACUGAGGCCUGCACAGGACAGAGAGCAGGGCAGAGCCCACAAGUAU